rnacentral:tRNA from 1 species
UUCUGGGUGGUCAAGUGGCUAAGACUCUGUGCUCCUGAUACAGAGGGUCCAGGUUCGAUCCCUGGUCAGAGA